GUGUUGAAUAAAAAGGAGAGACGGUUAGCACUCCCCUUGAUAAGGACGGAUGGGGUCUGUAUUGACCCUUAUCAAUACAUUUAUGAUGUUUAAGGCAUCAUUGUGUAUAGGCUUCGUGCCUAACACAAACCAUUUUUUUUU